GAUCAUGGCUCAGGAUGAACGCUAGCUACAGGCUUAACACAUGCAAGUCGAGGGGCAGCAUGGUCUUAGCUUGCUAAGGCCGAUGGCGACCGGCGCACGGGUGAGUAACACGUAUCCAACCUGCCGUCUACUCUUGGGCAGCCUUCUGAAAGGAAGAUUAAUACAAGAUGGCAUCAUGAGUCCGCAUGUUCACGUGAUUAAAGGUAUUCCGGUAGACGAUGGGGAG
rnacentral:rRNA from 1 species